UUAAAGGAAUUGACGGAAGGGCACCACCAGGAGUGGAGCCUGCGGCUUAAUUUGACUCAACACGGGGAAACUCACCCGGCCCGGACACCGUAAGGAUUGACAGAUUGAGAGCUCUUUCUUGAUUCGGUGGGUGGUGGUGCAUGGCCGUUCUUAGUUGGUGGAGCGAUUUGUCUGGUUAAUUCCGAUAACGAACGAGACUCUAGCCUACUAAAUAGACAGUAGAUCGUUAGUUUACUGUACUUCUUAGAGGGACAAGCGGCKUUUAGCUGCAUGAGAUUGAGCAAUAACAGGUCUGUGAUGCCCUUAGAUGUUCGGGGCUGCACGCGCGCUACACUGAAGGAAUCAACAUGCUUAUCUACCUUACCCGAAAGGGUUUGGUAACCCGUUGAAACUCCUUCGUGAUUGGGAUAGGGAAUUGCAAUUAUUUCCCUUGAACGAGGAAUUCCCAGUAAGUGCGGGUCAUCAGCUCGCGUUGAUUACGUCCCUGCCCUUUGUACACACCGCCCGUCGCUACUACCGAUUGGAUGAUUUACAGAAUAAUUUGGACUGAUGUCGAUGCGGCUUCGCGGCUGCGUCGAUCUUUCGGAAAGAUUUAUGAUGUCAAUUAUCUAGAGGAAGUAAAAGUCGUAACAAGGUUUCC
rnacentral:rRNA from 1 species